ensembl:lncRNA
AUAAAGUAUAACAUAAAGAAUAUGUCAACACUAUCUAUAGGUAAAACCCAACAAUAAAUGCUCCCGUUGUGGUCCCUCAUAUCAGAUCCAGAUGUCUCUUUGACACCGGCGCAGGGAGACAGAACUCUAAUGUAUUUUAUAUUGAAACCAAAUCCAGCAUUGAGAGUGGAAAUGCCACGGCCUGCGCCGUCUAACAGCUCCUGAAAGAGGCGCGAGUCUGAGUGGGCUGACAGUACCUAGUCUAACCCAGCAUCCUGCGUGCCAGGCCGCCCGCGUGACAGCUCUCCUCACGCAGUGAAAGAGUCAGGGCUGAUUCCUGUGGGAUCUCUUCGCAAACAAAGGACAAUGCCGCUGGAUUUCCUCUGGGAACUGCAAGUUUGGCCGGAAGAUUUGAGCAUACUGCAGAUUGAUAAUGGCUCUGGUGGUGGUUCUCAGGGAGUGUAACAGUGUGUAACCUUGAUACUUUUGGACUUGAUCCUCAGUUUGAUGUCAGCUUUGGGACUGAUGAGGUGUGUGUGCUUGUGUGAGGUGAACUGUAUAUAGGUUAGUUAGAGAGCCAGUCAUCCUAUGCGUUCUUCGUAAUCCUUUCAUGAGUGCCUCAUUAGCCUGUGAUGGCCAAACCACAAGAGUGUUUAAUCUUAACCCCGUGAUGGCGAGGAGACCGAAUCUACUUCUGUCCAUCUUCCCAGGGGUUCAAGACUCUGAGGUCCAUAUGGCAGGACAUAGAAGUGAAGUCAGCAUUGUUUUACGAGCCUGCUGCUUUCAUUUUAGGCCAACAUGGCUACAUCUUGGAUUAUUGAUUUUUUCUAAUGAAUAUGUCUUGACUAAUGGGGGUCGUAUCCUAUUGUCCAGUCGAGAUGUGAAUGAUUGCCUUUUUUGAAGGUAGAAGUAAAAGAGAA